GCAGUAAGUAAGAUGGAAAUUGUAAGGUACCGAACUUCUGUUGUAAGGUACCGAACUUCUAAAAUUAUGAAGUUACGGCGGAUGUAGUAUGCUGGAUUUUUAAUAUAAAAAUAAAUAUAAAUAAAAAUAGUGUGAGAUACUAUUUUUAUUGGAUUUAAGGGUGUAAAGUAUAAGUUGGAAAUGACCUGUGCUGAAAUCGGAGAGAAAACAGAAGAUUUAGAAUUUUCUGUGAGAGACGGGGCAGAUAAAUUAACAGAAAAUGCAGAGUGUCAGAAAAUUAUGAAAACUGGAGGAUAUGUCAGAAUUAUUUUUAUGAGGCUAGAUUUAAAGUUUCAAACCAUUCUGACGCCCGGAAAGGGGAAAAUAAAAUCCGACUACUAUCUGAUAAAGAUUACAAUUUGGUACAGCUUUCGGUGACCAAACAUAGUCGAAACUGAAAGAUUAAAAUUUCUUUGGACUUAUUAAGUAAAACCGAGCCUGCCUGUCAAAUUUGAGCGCAAACGGACGUUCAGAAGGGCUCCGGUGAAAAAUGUCAGUUUUAAACUGCUGAAGUGAAUAGUGUUUUGGGGGAGCUUACUUGUUGGUGAAGUUUCCUCCUAUAUAUAUAUAUAAAAGGGUGUUAUGUCAUUUCCCUCAUUCCUCUCUACUUGAGCCAACAUAAGAGAAAUCUCUCUCUCUCUCUCUCUCUAGGAUUGGCUCCAAAGUGUGGAGUUUGGUAGAGAAAAACUUACUUAGAGGUGAAGCUUUCUUUUUCUUUAUCAUUGGCUUGGAGAGCUUGGGUUUGAGAGGUAAGCUUUGAUAGCAACAAUGGUAGAUUGCUAAAUAGAUGGUUGAUGCUUUAUCAUUGGCUUGGAGAGCUUGGCUUUGAGAGGUAAGCUUUCUUUUUCUUUAUCAUUGGCUUGGAGAGCUUGGGUUUGAGAGGUAAGCUUUGAUAGCAACAAUGGUACAAAUAGGAGUUUCACUAAACCCAUUUGUAUGCCUUAGAAAUGGGUUUAGUGAAACUCCUAGAUGCUAAAUAGAUGGUUGAUGCUCGAAUUUAGAGAUCAAAUGAUGAAUUAUUGCAUAGUUGCAUCUUAGAACAUCAAAAGAGGGGUUUUGCUUGUGAGGGGUUUUGAUCUAAAUUGAUUAUGUAUAAACCUAAUUGCUAGGUUUUCUGACGCGUUGGCGAAGUCGGUUCGGCGAUACGACGAGGCUACGUGAAGAUAUUAAAGAACAAAGUCGUUAAGGUACAGAUUGCCGCAGCUCGUGGCGAAAGCUUCCAAAAAUCACGAAAUCGGAACCCUAGCCUCGUGAUAGCGAUAAAAGGUGGGGGGUGUCCAUCUCGAAGCAACUGGGCUUCCUUCUAUGUCCGAGUUAGAUUUUUGGUCAUAUUGCACAUAUUAUUCUUAUGCAUUAUAGGAUGUAUGUAUAAUUGCAUUUCUAUUUCCUUGCAUGCAUGUCUAGUUGUGUAGCAUUAUGGACUUGACACUUAAAUCUAGAAUGCAUGAGGAUUAGGGUUUGUGACAUGAGAUCCUAUAGUGAUAAGAAAACGGUGAACUCGGACUUGAUGAUGAAAACUGGUGACAUGCGAACUAGUGUAUAGAAAACACUAUGACUUGGACGAGUAGCAUGUAAACAAUGAUAACAACAUGACGAGUGGCAUUGGAACUUAGUGUAAUAGAAACACUUGUGACAUUGAGCAUAGGGAAUAGGUGAGUUUCCCUAGUCAUGGCAUAUUGCAUGAGAACUAGUGUAAUUGAGACACUAUGGCAUCAAACAUAGGGAUAGUUCAAUUCCCUAGUGUGAGUUGAUUAGUGUGGUUGAGACACUUGACAUGAACCUAGGGAUAGGUGGAUUUUCAAGUGUUUGUUAACCUAGUUGACAGGGUAUCCUCAGUUGGUGAGGAUUGGAUCAUACUCACAAGUCUGUUUUGAGCUUGUGGUGGUCGCUCCACACAAGCAGUGCACUCCGGAGUUGUCACACGAGCUGGGUAGCUCACGAGCGGGGUAGCUCACUGGGUGGGAUACGAGCGGGGUAGCUCCUCACCCAUUGCCGAAGUUGUCACACGAGCGGGGUAGCUCAUGAGCGGGGUAGCUCAUCGGGUGGGAUACGAGCGGGGUAGCUCCUCACCCAUUGGACUGGGACGUGAGUUGGGGCGAAGGGCGGGGUAGCUUUUCCCCUAUGAGAUUGAGCGGGGCAGCUCAAUAUCUAUGAGAUUAGAGCGGGGUAGCUCUUCAUCUAUUACCUUUGAGAUGUGAGACGGGUGAGAUAAGAGCGGGGUAGCUCCUCACCUAUGAGAUUUGAGAUAUCAGUCAGGGCGAAGAGCGGGGUAGCUCUUCACCUCUUCAUCUACUAGAUUGUGGUGAGUACCUAUGAGAUUUGAGAUCUUAGGCAGGGUAGCCUAGUGGAUUGGGUAAUGAUAUGAAUAGCAUAAGUGGAUUUGCAUUCAUCCUCUGAUUAGACAUAGUAUAUGUUAGUGGAUUGCAUAACUAUGUUGUAUUUGUUUUCAUUACAUUGUUGAAGCAUAUUAUCAUGAUAGUAGGCUUAUUGCUAGACGAUAUUUCAUGCAUUGCUUGCAUUUGAUGGCACAAUAGAUCAUAGUUGCAGUUCAAUAUCUAUCUAUCUAUUUGUGCCAGCUUAGACCUAGUGGGAAGAUCGGCGGAGUCGGCGGCCGAACCCACUGGGAACUAUAUUUAUAUAGUUCUCACCCCGUGUGGUUUUGGGGUACAGGUACACACGAGAGCGGACCGGCAAGGCAUCGCGGUAAGGGGGUAGCGCCUUAGCUAGCUAGUUGUGGCUUUCCUUUUGUACUAGAGUACCCUCGUGUACAUAGGUGACGUGGUUGUAUUUUGGAGCAGUACAUUGUACCUAGAUAUAUGUGAGAUGAUUAUGUAUUCAUUUUGGAAGCUUAAAUGUAAUCAAAGAUGUAAAAGUGGAAUGUGAUGUAAUAGCUAGAUGUACUCUUCUUUAUGCACUUGUAUGUAUACUUGUGUUACUUGCUCUUGUUGUAUUGCACUCUUUUGUGCUUCUCUCUCUUGUUGGAUCGUGUAUGUAUGAAUUAUCCCUGGGCAAAUUCUUUGUACAUAUCCUGUGUUGAGCCUUGGCGGACAGGGGAGGUGCUGUCCGUUCGGCGUCCGUCGGCGCGGCCCGAACCGGACCAAAUUGUAGCGGUCUCGGGGCAGGGCGUUGACAGGUAUGGUAUCAGAGCAAGUUAAGAGCAAGUAAAGAGAGAGAGUCUAGGAUUGACCUAGAGGACCUUAGGUUAGGAAAGUAAGGUUAUAGGUGGUGAGUAGAACGUGGCCCUAUACGGUGGCGGGAGUUGAUCGAUUGGGUCGAAGUGAUUGUAUGUCUCUAGUCGUGGCUAGAGAUGGAUUCAAGUGGUAUGAGUUCUUGGCUCGAAGUGGUAGUGUUGGGCGGCCGACAACAACGACGCGAGAGUCUAGAAUCAGUACACUUAUUGCUUCCGCCUAGUUUGCGACGUUGAGUCGCGUAGUUGUGAUCGCGAGCGAGUUGGUGGGUUAAGUUAAUUAACCCGGUUGUUGCGUUGCAGGAACUAAUGUCCCCAAGAUGCUACACGCGCAGAUCUAUUCCGGCACCGUCUUCGGAGGCGCCAGAGCAGGCUGGACCUCCCGAGGCGCCAGAGUUAGCUGGGCCUAGUGAGGUGCAGGAGUUACGGGCACAAGUGACCGCAUUGACCAAUGUGGUGCAGUGCCAGGAGACCCGAUUCGAGCGGCUCCAGGAGCUCUUGGAGCGGCAAAUGGCAACGGUGGCUGCGAUGGCGACUGGAGGUCGUGACCCGCCCGCACCCCCGGUGCACGCGCCUGUUGUGGCUGAGGGUGAUGGUGUAGUGCCUGUUGGAGCAGGUAGAGAGCUAGAUAGCACUAGCAAAAUACUGGUGAUGAUUGUUGGACGAGAAGUGAGACUCGUGGUAGGGCGAUCGGUUAGUGUUCGAGCAUGAGCACGUAGGCCUAGUAGUACCUCGAAGUGAGGUGGGUGAGUCGUGCUCGUGUGGCCGGUGCGCAUAGGCAGGGUUGCCUAAUGUCGGAAUUAGUGUACGACGCGUAGAGCGCUCGAAUAUAGGUACUCGUGAAGUACGAUGUUGACUCAGCCGGGAGAGUGUGUAGGCAGUAGCACUGUAGCAUUACUAAGUGUGAAGCGUGCCUGGGAUCACUCAUAGGGCUGAUGGCUCGCAUUAGGUGCUUAGGAGCCAAUAGUGAUAUGUGUUGCUCGGGUGAGCAUGUCGUGGGAGACAACGGUUGCGGGUAUAGCUUGAGGAUGAUCCAUGCCCGGACCAUUCGUGGACUAUGGAACCUGGGUCCCUAUGAACAGGCGCAGUCAGCUGUGGGUGGCAGCGGCCCGGGGUAGGGCAGAGAUUUGGUCAGGACGGUAGUCCGAGCUUAGACCCGAAAGCGUGGAAUGCCACGUGUUAGAUCGUGUAAUCAUGGAUGCACUAAGAGUGCAAUGGUGACCCAACCCGAGGAUUUAGAGUGGUUUGGGGUCUUGAUUGCUCCUGGUUGGAGUAUGUGCGAAUUCCCAAAUGAGAAGUUCGCCUGGUUAUGAUGGGGUCUGCGCUUGCGAGCGAGAGACGCUACGUGUUGAGAUAGGUUUAGGCGGUAGACCUGCGUAGAAUUGGUGAACUGUGGUUCGUCUAUGAGAUUGAGAUAAACGGUAGGCGAGUAGCCUUGUCGACGAGUUUAGGCUUGGAUUCACGAACAGGAGUUCGUGUGAGGUUAUAACAAGAGUGGUUCUUCCCACGGUGGUAAUGCACUUUUGGAGUUACACUUAGCAAAUGUGAGUGAAUUUGGUCUCACAUCCUCCGUAGUGGGCCUUGGAUGAUUUCAAUGAAUGAAAGCCCACUCUAAGAAGGAAAAGUGCAUUGGAAUCCCCGAUUGCUCGAUAAAUCGAGUUGGAAUGUGAUUGGGGUUGAAAUUUGGUUAGUUUCGAGGACGAAACUCUUUUUAAGAAGGAGAGGAUGUAAGGUACCGAACUUCUAAAAUUAUGAAGUUACGGCGGAUGUAGUAUGCUGGAUUUUUAAUAUAAAAAUAAAUAUAAAUAAAAAUAGUGUGAGAUACUAUUUUUAUUGGAUUUAAGGGUGUAAAGUAUAAGUUGGAAAUGACCUGUGCUGAAAUCGGGGCGAAAACAAAAGAUUUAGAAUUUUCUGUGACAGACGGGGCAGAUAAAUUAGCAGAAAAUGCAGAGUGUCAGAAAAUUAUGAAAACUGGAGGAUAUGUCAGAAUUAUUUUUAUAAGGCUAGAUUUAAAGUUUCAUACCAUUCUGACACCCGGAAAAUGGAAAAUAAAAUCCGACUGCUAUCUGAUAAAGAUUACAGUUCGGUACAGCUUUCGGUGACAAACAUAGUCGAAACUGAAAGAUUAAAAUU
rnacentral:lncRNA from 1 species